rnacentral:rRNA from 1 species
UACGGGGGGAGCAAGCGUUGUUCGGAUUUACUGGGCGUAAAGGGCGCGUAGGCGGCCACCGCAAGUCGACUGUGAAAUCUCCGGGCUUAACCCGGAAAGGUCAGCCGAUACUGCGGGGCUAGAGUGCAGAAGGGGCAACUGGAAUUCUCGGUGUAGCGGUGAAAUGCGUAGAUAUCGAGAGGAAUACCAGUGGCGCAAGCGGCGCCCUGGCCGUGACCUGACACUGAGCCACGACGGCGUGGGGAGCAAACGGG